rnacentral:rRNA from 1 species
AUUGAACGCUGGCGGCAUGCCUUACACAUGCAAGUCGAACGGUAACGGGCCUUCGGGUGCCGACGAGUGGCGAACGGGUGAGUAAUGUAUCGGAACGUACCUUUCAGUGGGGGAUAACGUAGCGAAAGUUACGCUAAUACCGCAUAUUCUGUGAGCAGGAAAGCAGGGGACCGCAAGACCUUGCGCUGAUUGAGCGGCCGAUAUCAGAUUAGCUAGUUGGGGAGGUAAAGGCUCACCAAGGCGACGAUCUGUAGCGGGUCUGAGAGGAUGAUCCGCCACACUGGAACUGAGACACGGUCCAGACUCCUACGGGAGGCAGCAGUGGGGAAUUUUGGACAAUGGGGGCAACCCUGAUCCAGCCAUGCCGCGUGAGUGAAGAAGGCCUUCGGGUUGUAAAGCUCUUUCGGCCGGGAAGAAAUCGUAUCAGCUAAUACCUGGUGCGGAUGACGGUACCGGCAUAAGAAGCACCGGCUAACUACGUGCCAGCAGCCGCCGUAACAC